UGAAUACGAGAUGCUACGGCGUCGAAGCAGUCUAUGUCAUACUUCCAAGAAAAGCUUGCACUGUCAUAAACAAAUAAUGCCUGUACCAUAACCGACACAGGUGGGUAGGUAGAGUAUACUAAGGGGCGCGAGAUAACUCUCUCUAAGGAACUCGGCAAAAUGACUCCGUAACUUCGGGAGAAGGAGUGCCUUAUUUAUAAGGUUGCAAUAACAAGACCCAAGCAACUGUUUAUCAAAAACACAGGUCUCCGCUAAGUCGUAAGACGAUGUAUGGGGGCUGACGCCUGCCCAGUGCCAGAAGGUUAAAGAAGUUGGUUAGCAUUAGCGAAGCUGAUGACUGAAGCCCUGGUGAACGGCGGCCGUAACUAUAACGGUCCUAAGGUAGCGAAAUUCCUUGUCGGGUAAGUUCCGACCCGCACGAAAGGCGUAAUGAUUUGGGUACUGUCUCAGAGAGGGACUCGGUGAAAUAGACUUGUCUGUGAAGAUGCGGACUACCUGCACCUGGACAGAAAGACCCUAUGAAGCUUUACUGUAACCUGAAAUUGAAAUUGGACUUUAUUUGCGCAGUAUAGGUGGGAGGCUUUGAAGAUAUUCUUGCGGGAAUGUUGGAGCCAUCAGUGAGAUACCACUCUUGUAAUGUUAGAUUUCUAACUUUGUAUCAUUAUCUGGUCAAAGAACAGUUUCAGGCGGGCAGUUUGACUGGGGCGGUCGCCUCCUAAACGGUAACGGAGGCGCACAAAGGUUUCCUCUGAACGGGUAGAAAUCGUAUCUAGAGUGUAAAGGCAUAAGGAAGCUUGACUGUGAGACCUACAAGUCGAGCAGGGACGAAAGUCGGUCUUAGUGAUCUGACGGUGCUGAGUGGAAAGGCCGUCACUCAACGGAUAAAAGUUACUCUAAGGAUAACAGGCUGAUCUCCCCCAAGAGUUCACAUCGACGGGGAGGUUUGGCACCUCGAUGUCGGCUCAUCGCAUCCUGGGGCGGUAGUACGUCCCAAGGGUUGGGCUGUUCGCCCAUGAAAGCGGUACGCGAGCUGGGUUCAGAACGUCGUGAGACAGUUCGGUCCAUAUCCGGUGUAGGCGUUAGAAUAUUGAGAGGAGCCUUCUCUAGUACGAGAGGACCGAGAAGGACACACCUCUGGUGUACCAGUUAUCGUGCCAACGGUAAACGCUGGGUAGCUAUGUGUGGAGCGGAUAACCGCUGAAAGCAUCUAAGUGGGAAGCCCACCUCAAGAUAAG
rnacentral:rRNA from 1 species